rnacentral:sRNA from 1 species
CCAGUGACCCCGCGGUGCUGUCGGACCCCCGACCUGGCAGCAUCGCGGGGCUUCCAA